rnacentral:sRNA from 2 species
CAUAUUCCUCGUUAGAAUGAGGCGUUUGCACAAAAAAAUGCUACUACCCAGAAACGUCGAAAGACGCCAAUGUGGUUACCAGGUUUUGUCGGAUUAAGGCUUAACCCAAUGUAGCUGGAUUAGAUCCUACGUUGUGCACUGCCGAAAGUCAACCAGGGGGGAACAUG